rnacentral:rRNA from 1 species
AGAAUGCUAGUUGAGCGCUUCCAGCCAACACGGGAGCGCAGCGCACAGCUCAGNAACACGUGGCCAAUCUGCCCUUGGGACCGGAACACCCCCGGGAAACUGGGGCUAAUUCUCGAUAGGUAAAGAACUCUGGAAUGAGUCUUUGCUUAAAAGACGUUUACGUUAUGCUCGUAGACGUCGCCCAAGGAUGAGGCCGCGACCGAUCAGGUUGUUGGUGAGGUAAUGGCUCACCAAGCCUUUAACCGGUGCGGGCCGUGAGAGCGGGAGCCCGGAGAUGGGCACUGAGACAAGGGCCCAGGCCCUACGGGGCGCAGCAGUCGCGAAAACUUUGCAAUACACGAAAGUGUGACAGGGCUAUCCCGAGUGCCAUCCGCUGAGGAAGGCUUUUACCCAGUCUAGAACGCUGGGGGAAUAAGGAGAGGGCAAGUCUGGUGUCAGCCGCCGCGGUAAUACCAGCUCUCCGAGUGGUGUGGAUGUUUAUUGGGCCUAAAGCAUCCGUAGCUGGCUGAGUUAGUCCCUUGUUAAAUCCACCGAAUUAAUCGUUGGAUUGCGGGGGAUACUGCUCGGCUAGGGGACGAGAGAGGCAGACGGUAUUUCCGGGGUAGGGGUGAAAUCCUAUAAUCCCGGGAAGACCACCAGUGGCGAAGGCUGUCUGCUAGAACGCGCCCGACGGUGAGGGAUGAAAGCUGGGGGAGCGAACCGGAUUAGAUACCCGGGUAGUCCCAGCUGUAAACGAUGCANGCUAGGUGUUUGGACGGCCACGUGCCGUUCUAGUGCCGCAGGGAAGCUGUUAAGCCUGCCGCCUGGGGGAGUACGAUCGCAAGAUUGAAAACUUAAAGGAAUUUGGCGGGGGA